rnacentral:pre_miRNA from 1 species
AAAGACUCAAUUUCUGAGGUUCUGUGUUCAACAUUUGACUAUCCGUUUUAUAUAAAAUAUUUUUAUGAUUAGUAUUUUUGUUGUUGUUAGAUAAUAAAACAUGAAUAAUAUUUUAUAUAUAACUUAUCCUUUUAAAUUUUUUUAUAUUUUUAUCAAAUAAGACGGACGGUAAGUGUUGGACAUGAAAACAUAGGAAUUAAGUUAUU